rnacentral:rRNA from 1 species
UACAGAGGGUGCAAGCGUUGCUCGGAAUUAUUGGGCGUAAAGGGUAGGUAGGUGGUCUCAUUUGUCAGGGGUGAAAGCCUUGGGCUUAACCCACGAAGUGCCUUUGAAACGGUGAGACUGGAGUCCUGGAGAGGGUCGUGGAAUUCCCGGUGUAGCGGUGAAAUGCGUAGAGAUCGGGAGGAACACCAGCGGCGAAGGCGGCGACCUGGACAGGUACUGACACUCAACUACGAAAGCGUGGGGAGCAAACAGG